rnacentral:lncRNA from 1 species
UCUAUGAAAUGUAUCAUAACACAGACAAUUCACAUAAGGGUUGGGUGAACUUGUCACCAACUAGUCCAAGCUAACUCUGUGCCAGGCCGUAGCAUGGGGUCCUGGUCUUCCUGUCAUAACAUACAUUACUUACCAUUGCCCCAGGGCCUCCUCUGGGCUCCUGGUCUUCGAGUCCCAUAACCGUGCCAGGCCGUAGAAUGGGGUCCUGGUCUUUCCUUACUCUGUGCCAGGCAGUAGAAUGGGGUCCUGGUCUUCCUGUCAUGGACUAAUUGGGUCAUCCAAUAUUCACCCACAUCAACAACAAUCGAUGCAAUGUGGCAUAUUCGUGAAAACUAAUGCAAUCAUCCUAUUGCAUAAUCAUGAUGCAUGAAACAUGAUAAAACAUUUAAUUUCUCAAUUUAAAAGAUUAAGUUUAGUUCCACUCACCUCUGGCUGACUCUGACAACACCGAAGCAGCUGAACUCACUGCUGGGGUCCUCGGUUCCUCGGGUCCGAACCUACACAGGUGGACUUAAAU